rnacentral:lncRNA from 10 species
AGGGACAGGCAGAGACAGAUAGGGACAGAUAGGGUCCUACAGGGACUUGAACGAGGAAGAUCUGCUGGAAAAGAAAAGAACUACAACCAACCAGAUGAACAAGAAACCCUGUUACAAGUCUGCUGGCAGCAACAUAAGGAAAUGAACAAAAAGUGUGGGUGCCCCCAAGGUGUGUACUACCAUGGAAUGGGAGAUUGGAGGGACACAUGGAUCCCAACCGUGGGCCUGGUUCCCCCAGUAUGAGCUGAAUACGAAGACAGAACAAACCACCAACCGGCAAUUGAAGUGACACAAAGUGAACCGGGUUCUAUAAAUUACCAUGGAAAGUGGUGAGCCAACGAUUUGGCAGAACAAAACCCUGAGGAUAUGCAAACAAAAGGGACUAUGGAAUUUGCAAUUGCAGAUUAAAAUUGAAGAAGAAAACAUUUGAGUUGCAAAUACCGUAUUAAAAGUGGACACUGCUUAUGACUGCUGUAUGCAACAGUUUUUCAGGCCCGAGGUGAUAAAUAAAAAAUUGUUUGCUCUAUUUAA